UACAGAGGGGGCAAGCGUUGUUCGGAAUUACUGGACGUAAAGGGCGCGUAGGCGGCCGGUUAAGUCGAACGUGAAAUCCCCGGGCUCAACCCAGGAACUGCGUCCAAGACUGGGAGGCUUGAAUCCGGGAGAGGGAUGCGGAAUUCCAGGUGUAGCGGUGAAAUGCGUAGAUAUCUGGAGGAACACCGGUGGCGAAGGCGGCAUCCUGGACCGGUAUUGACACUGAGGCGCGAAAGCCAGGGGAGCAAACGGG
rnacentral:rRNA from 1 species